AACGAACGCUGGCGGCAGGCUUAACACAUGCAAGUCGAACGCUCCGCAAGGAGAGUGGCAGACGGGUGAGUAACACGUGGGAACGUACCCUUUACUACGGAACAACUCCGGGAAACUGGAGCUAAUACCGUAUGUGCCCUUUGGGGGAAAGAUUUAUCGGUAAAGGAUCGGCCCGCGUUGGAUUAGCUAGUUGGUGGGGUAAAGGCCUACCAAGGCGACGAUCCAUAGCUGGUCUGAGAGGAUGAUCAGCCACAUUGGGAUUGAGACACGGCCCAAACUCCUACGGGAGGCAGCAGUGGGGAAUAUUGGACAAUGGGCGCAAGCCUGAUCCAGCCAUGCCGCGUGUGUGAUGAAGGCCUUAGGGUUGUAAAGCACUUUCACCGGAGAAGAUAAUGACGGUAUCCGGAGAAGAAGCCCCGGCUAACUUCGUGCCAGCCGCCGCUGUAA
rnacentral:rRNA from 1 species